rnacentral:misc_RNA from 1 species
GGAAGGAUCAUUAAUAAAUAAUCCAAUAUGGGUUUUAAUCCAUAUCCACCUCUGUGCUCUUGUUUAACGUUAGCUCCCUUUUGGCGCACCACAAAAACGGUAUCAGACUCAGUCUCCUUGCGAGAUUUUGGCUGUUACUGGGUGUGUCGGAAGGCGAGCACUUCAUAUACCUUUAGUUUCUUAAUACCUGACUGAAGUCUCCUGUUUUCUUUGCCUUACAGCUUAGUUAAUAGAAAAAAAACAAAUUUAAAACAACUUUCAACAACGGAUCUCUUGGCUCCCACAACGAUGAAGAGCGCAGCGAACUGCGAUAAGUAAUGUGAAUUGCAGAAUAUCGUGAAUCAUCAAAUCCUCGAACGCACAUUGCGCUUUCAGGUAUUCCUGGAAGCAUGCCUGUUUGAGUAUCAGCGUACACCUCAAACCCAAAUAUUCUUGUAAUAUUCGGUAGUUUGGAAUUGGACUUUACACAGACGCGUAACAGCUACUGUGAAGUCUUAAAUUAAGAUACGCGGGGCUCUGAAUACCGCAACCAAAGCUAGGUCAUUUGCAUUCGCAAUUGCUUAAGCUGAAAGUUUCGCAGAGUCUAGUGAUUUCUUCAACUUGGUCACUACUAAGUUGGGAAACUCGCAAGGUCUUUUGACUUUGUGCAUUUUGAUCUCAAAUCAGGCAAGAUUACCCGCUGAACUUAAGCAUAUCAUUAAGCGGAGGAAAAGAAACUAACAAGGAUUCCCCUAGUAACGGCGAGUGAAGCGGGAUCAGCUCAAAUUUGAAAUCUGCAAGGUUACACUUUGCCGAAUUGUAAAUUAGAGAAGCGUUUUCGGUCUACAGGCUCAGCAUAACUUACCUGGAACGGUAGGACAUAGAGGGUGAGAGCCCCGUAUGUGGUUGAGCAUUGUGGCCAUGUGAUACGCUUUCAACGAGUCAGGUUGUUUGGGAAUGCAGCCUAAAAUGGGUGGUAAAUCUCAUCUAAAGCUAAAUAUCGGUGGGAGACCGAUAGCGAACAAGUACCGUGAGGGAAAGAUGAAAAGAACUUUGAAAAGAGAGUCAAAUAGUACGUGAAAUUGUUGAAAGGGAAACGUUUGAAGUCAGUGUUGCUUCUAGAUUCUCAGCUGCUUAGGCUGACUCUGGCAGGUUGUUGUGAGCGUAAGCCGCACUGCUUGGUAGUGUUAGUUUCGGUAGUGCAUUGGUCUAGUGCAGGUCAACAUCAGUUUCGAUCGGUGUAGAAAGGCAAUGGGAAGGUAGCUAUUCCUUCGGGAGUGGUGUUAUAGCCCUUGUUGAUGCAUCGGUUGGGAUUGAGGUUCGCAGCGCAUGCCUUCGGGCUGGGCUACUAUCGGCUUUUCUUUGCCCAGUUGCUCUCUACUUGUAGAGCUCGAUUGCCGUAAGGGAAACUCCGGUAGGAUCCGCAUAUGCGCUUAGGAUGUUGACGAAAUGGCUUUAAACGACCCGUCUUGAAACACGGACCAAGGAGUCCAACAUAUAUGCGAGUAUUUGGGUGGCAAACCCAGAUGCGUAAUGAAAGUGAACGUAGGUGGGAUCCCGCAAGGGUGCACCAUCGACCGGUCUUGAUAUCUUUUGAUAGAUCUGAGUAAGAGCAUAUCUGUUGGGACCCGAAAGAUGGUGAACUAUGCCUGAAUAGGGUGAAGCCAGAGGAAACUCUGGUGGAGGCUCGUAGCGGUUCUGACGUGCAAAUCGAUCGUCAAAUUUGGGUAUAGGGGCGAAAGACUAAUCGAACCAUCUAGUAGCUGGUUCCCUC